rnacentral:rRNA from 1 species
UACGUAGGCAGCGAGCGUUGUUCGGAGUUACUGGGCGUAAAGAGUGCGUAGGCGGUUUUCUAAGUUUGGUGUGAAAUCUCCCGGCUCAACUGGGAGGGUGCGCCGAAGACUGGAAGGCUUGAGUAUGGGAGAGGUAAGCGGAAUUCCUGGUGUAGCGGUGAAAUGCGUAGAUAUCAGGAGGAACACCUGCGGUGUAGACGGCUUACUGGACCAUAACUGACGCUGAGGCACGAAAGCGUGGGGAGCAAACGGG